rnacentral:rRNA from 1 species
CGUCGCUGGCGGCACGCCUAAUACCUGCAAGUUUAACGAAGUAGCAGUACUUAGUGGCAGGCGGGUGAGUAACAUGUAGGUAUCUUGCCCAUUGGUGAGGAACUUAACACGAGGGAAACUUGUGCUAAUACCUCAUAAGUCUUCACGGAGAAAGCUUUAUGCGCCAAUGGAUGAGCCUGCACUUGAUUAGUUUGUUGGUAGGGUAAUGGCCUACCAAGACAAUGAUCAAUAGCUGAUUUGAGAGGAUGAUCAGCCACAUUGGGACUGAGACACGGCCAAACUCCUACGGGAGGCAGCAGUAGGGAAUCUUGCACAAUGGGGGAAACCCUGAUGCAGCGAUGCCGCGUGAGUGAAGAAGGCCUUUGGGUUGUAAAGCUCUUUCGUCGGGGAAGAACAAUGACUGUACCCGAAUAAGAAGGUCCGGCUAACUUCGUGCCAGCAGCCGCGGUAAUACGAAGGGACCUAGCGUAGUUCGGAAUUACUGGGCUUAAAGAGUUCGUAGGUGGUUAAAAAAGUUGGUGGUGAAACUCCCAGAGCUUAACCCUGGAACUGCCACUCACAAACUUUUCAGCUAGAGUAUGAUAGAGGAAAGCAGAAUUUCUAGUGUAGAGGUGAAAUUCGUAGAUAUUAGAACAGAAUACGAUUCCGAAGGCAGUU